GUUCCUUGGAAAAGGACAGCUGAGAGGGUGAGACUCCCGUCCGCCUGGUAGAGUGAGCCUUUGUCAAAGAGUCGAGUUGUUUGGGAUUGCAGCUCUAAUUUGGUGGUAAAUUCCAUCUAAAGCUAAAUAUUGGUGGGAGACCGGUAGCGUACAAGUACCGUGAGGGAAAGAUGCAAAGAACUUUGAAAAGAGAGUUAAAGAGUACCUGAAAUUGCUGAAACGGAAGCGAAGGAAACCAGUGUUUGUUUGUUCAUAUUUCCCUGACCACUUGUGGUUUGGGCGCUGUGGGCUUGCGUCGGUUUGCUUUGGUUAAUCCCUUUGGAAGAGCGCAGUCAGAGUUGAUGUCU
rnacentral:rRNA from 1 species